CAGUAUAGUGUGAGGUAGAUAAUCAAUCAAGAUCAUGCUUUUUGAUUGGUCUCUCAAAUGGGCUGGUUUCCUAUAAAAAGCCUCAGUUCUACAACUGUGCACCCCUCUGACUUCAGGCGUUGGUUGUCCCUGGCUGUCUACUUCCGUGUUUUCUGUGCUUUACGGCAGCACGGAUAGUUUUAUACCGAACCACAGAUCGACACAACUUAUAAGUGACGGUGACUUUUGCAAAGGUCCAGAGGCUUUCCCUCCAAUGAGCUGUAGUCCAGCUCCAAGUGUGAUUCUGCUGCUCUGCCCAGCUCUUUUGCAUUACUACUGUUGCUGGCUGCUUUGGUUGUGGGCAUGUGCCUGGCCCGCUGCUCGAUGUGAUUCCCCAAAGACUGAUUCUGGAGUUAAGCGGGACCCGAUUCAGCUGCCACUGAAAGGCCAUACUUAAGUUGCCCAAGGAACGUUUUUUUUUUUUUUUUUU